CUGCCACUUUCUUAUGUACUUUGGCCUCAUGUUUAAUUAUUUAGCUCUCCUAAAUUAAAUUAAACAAAACAAUCUUCUGUCUACUUAAAGAGAGACUUAAGGGUGGCAGUUUGAGAUAAAACCAGGUGCCACUGAAUACCAAGAGCCUGAGAAACUGAGGUGGGAAAGCCAAACUGAGCAAUUAUGUCUGACAGAAGGGAAGAAAUGACCAUGGUGGCCUUCCCAGACCCUGUGGGAAAGGCCUUUAUCCAGUGAAAGUGUCUACUCAGACUACGAAGUAUUUUAGUUUCCCGACUCGAGGCAUCUACAGAGAACUCUGAAGACAGCUGGUCAGAUUCUCCACAUGGCAGGUUUUGAGAUAAAGAUUUGCUUAACUGGAUUUUAAUGCACACGGACCAAACGUUGCGGGAGGAAACGUUCAAAUUUGAAGUGUCUUUCAGCACACCCAGAUGUCUAGAAUUACUUAGAAAUAUCUGAUGGGGGCACUGAGGCACAGAUGUGAAGUAACUUGCUGAAGGUCACAUGUUCCAGAUGUUGGAUGCCCUGCUAGUUUCCCCACCUGAUUAUUGAAAUUGAUAUUUGGAGUUGAGGAAAAGAAGGCAAAUCAUCACAUAUCAACCUAUUAUGCACGUUACGCUGUUUGCAUUAUCACAUCUAAUCCAUUUGACACUGCAAAGGAGCAGAUCAAAAUGAUAGAAUUGUAAAGUCAAAAGGAGAAAAAUUGAGGAUUGCCUGGUUUGUAUUAUCAUGAGUUCUCAAAUGUUUAUAAUGGCCAUCUAAGAGUGAAAAGACAAUGGAAACACGUGGUAUAGGUAUGCGCUUGCUUCUAUACAAAGGAAGAAAAUGCAUUAGAGAAGAAGAGACAGAAUACAUGGAUGAAAGGAACGAAGAAGGGGAACUCAGAGCACAGGCAGAGAAAAGGCAUUGGAGGACAGUUUUCCCCACUGAGGAAGGUGGGAAUAAGUUAAAGAUGCAUAAGUUUCUAAAGGCAUGACGGAAGGGGGCAGGGCAUAGUCAAGAAGCCUCUAUGCAGUAGGUGAGAGCUGUGGCAUCCAAGAAUAAUGGAAAGGAUGGUAGGUAGGUGGCUUCUAAAAAAAUGGCAAGGAUCUGUAAAAGCUACUGUAGAGUAGUAAGAUUGGACUGACUUGAGUCUCAGAGAAGGACUGCUGCAUAGCUACACGGCCAAGCUAAGGUUUAAAAGAAUGACUUUCUAUUGUCACUAAUCUGCAUGGGUAUGUUAUCUUUUUUCCCUAGCACUCAGCAAUUCAAGUAUGACAGUGAGAAGGUGAGUGGCUGGAUCGAUCCAAGGUUAUAACUUUUCUGGGCAGAUGCAGUGAACUCAAAAACUGGAUGACAGUUAAGAAUACUGACAAAAGAGUAGUGAGAAAGAUAGGACACAGGGUCUAAGCAAGGAUUUGGACAGCUCAUUCAGGUGAAAAAAUGGGUUUAAAAGUAAGAAAGCUGAAAUGAUCAGGGGCUGUGGUUAGAGAGGUGUUGUGCAGAUUGGAGACUGAGUGGGCUUUCCUUAUGGGCACGAGAGACACAGGGUGAUGUAACACUUCUAGAGAAGGGAUUGUGAGCUAUCCAUGAUGGUGAUGACAUCACUAGUCAUCACCAUCACUUCAGUAGGAGGUCAGUAAACUCCGUCUAUGUCAAGAGUGAAGAAUUCUAGAGCUAUAGUACAAGAGCCAACAGGAGCCUCAAAAUAAGAGAGAAAUACAGAAAUGAUGAUAAGGAACAGGCUGAUUAACUCUGAAGCAUUGAGCAGGUAAUGUCUGAGUUUAGCGUUUAAGGAUCAAUAGGAGUUCUUCAAGCAGAUGAAAAAGGUGAUAGAGGAGAUUUCAGAUAAAGUCAGUAUCACCUGCCAAAGUUUAGAGGCAUUUAAAUUAUUUUCUAGCACAACAUCCUCAGGAGGUAUAAACCAUAAAUACAUGUCCUACUUUCUAUUUUUCCUCUUUUCUUCAGACCAUGACCAUUCUUGAAAUGAACUUUCCCAUAGAAUUAAAAUAAUCCCAUUUCUGGACACUUGAGCAAGUUUGACUUAACUCUUUUCUCAGUUUGCCAGUUGUAUAGUCUGAACAAUCCUGCUACCUGUGGUUCUUAAGGAAAAGAGGUCAUAGGUAAAGUUGCUGCAAAAGUCAUUGCGGUUUUUACCAUUACUUUCAAUGUACAAAAAUUGAUAUCCUAGAAUCCAUGAUUUCUUCAUGGUCCAUUUUCUUUUUGUAUCCUUUUUUGGAAGCAGGGUGAUUUUAGAAAGCGUAUAUAUGGCAUUCAAGGCUAAACAGAGCUGGUGUUGAAUUGUGCUAACAACACCUACAAGCUGUGUAACAUUUGGCAAUUCACUUGGCCUUUCUGAAUUUCCAUUUUUGUGAAAUACAGAUAACAUGUCUAUCUCCUAGAAUUAUGAGAAUGAAAUGCAAUCAUGUCAAUAAGGGAUGGUACAGAAUAGAUGCUCAAUGUUUCCUCUUUGUGGUUCUCUCUGAAUCUCCCUUGCUUCUCCCAACUCUGUUUUCCUAAGCUAAUUUCUUUCAAGCUUAUGGCUGCUGACCUUUUAUUAUUCUUAAUCCAUUGAUCCCUCUAUAUUGUGUAUCUACCCCCUGCCACAGCCUCACAUAAAUGCAUCACAAUUCCCUGAAAGUGUCCUGCUUUCUUAGAACUUGACUUCCAGCAGACUAACUCAGAAAGAUCCAAGACAAAAAGAUGAGGAAAAGGGAAUCUCUUUUAUACUGGAUAGUUUUAAUAAUGGAAUCCUAGAGACAAAGUCAGAAAGUGAUCAUGGGAACAGAAAGCAAAGAGAAAAAAUACAAGAACAUUGAGGAGACACCCUAACAAUAAGACUAAGAGCAGGAGAGUGUCCUCCCAUGCUUUGCUGAAGUUGAGUGAUAACUGGUUAGUUUCCCUGGGCUCUUACUACCUUUCUGAAACUAAAUGUUGUUUGAAUAGGAGGAGCUAAAUUUUUCAUAAAUAAAUCUCUCUGAUGGUUUGUUACAUGUCCUUUAUUUUGUUCUGCAUUAAAGUGUAAUCCAUAUUUUACAGUUUUCCCACUUGCCGACUUAUUUUACAUUUUAUCUCAUAUAGAGGUCUGCAACCAAGGAAAACUGAGAUUCUCCAACCGAUUCUCUAUGUAUACUUUCAGAAUAGAGUAGCACACUGUAUUUAGGUGAAUGACAAUCCCUGGGGUUGUGCAACUAUGCUUGCCCCGAGAAUGACAGACGCUGGGUUUUCAGGGACCCAGGACACUGAAAUCCCUGGAACUGCCAAGCCUCAGUAGUUUCUUCACCUUUUCCUGUUAAUGAUCACACCACUUUAUUCAACUUUCUAUGAAACUAUACAGCAAUGAUAGAAAGAUAAGUUUGCAAUAUAGACAAGACCAUCAAAAAAAGUAAUUUACAAAAAAAGAAGUAUAAAUGGUCAAUGAGCAUAUGAGAGGAUGCCCUGCCUCUCUAGUAGUGAGAGCAACGCCACUUAAAACAGCAGGGAUAAGCCAUUUAGAGUGAUUUGACAUUGAUAGCAUAAAAUAAUAACCAUUGUUGAUGUGAAUAUGAGAGAAGCCUGGAAGAGAUUAUUCCUAUUUUUAUUUUCCAAAUUUAAUAUAUGAUUAUGAUGUGAGUAUGUCUAUUGCAGUAAGGGGCUAAUAGAAAGUUGUCCAGAGAAGUAUAAAGAAGAAAGAAAUCAUCCACAGUCACCUUGCUCAGUGAUAACCACCACUGCCAUUUAUAAUUGAUUUAUUUGAAUCAGGAUCCAGUUGAGAUCUAAUCAUUGCAUUUGGGAUGUCUUUUAAGUCUCUUUUAAUUUAGAACAGAUCU